AUUCAUUCAGCCGUGUGUCGCUGACCUGCAGCAGAGAGGACAGUUUAUAGGAUCCUGAGUUUAUCCACAUCGGGCUUCUUGAUUUCCUGUUUAGUCGGGGACACAGAGGAUGGGGGAUCCAAUGAGGAUGGUGAACUGGGACAGGGAGAUUAACUCCUUUCAGUAAAUGACAAUUGAAUAUAGAAACAAGACACGGGGGGAAAGACAGAGGACAACAUGCAGCAAAGGGCCACAGGUCGAAUCGUAUUCUGGAUGUAGCCUCUUGGGAUUCAAACCCUGUAUCUCUG